rnacentral:rRNA from 1 species
CUCCUACGGGAGGCAGCAGUGGGGAAUAUUGCACAAUGGGGGAAACCCUGAUGCAGCGACGCCGCGUGAACGAAGAAGGUUUUCGGAUUGUAAACUUCUGUCGUCGAGGAAGAUAAUGACGGUACUUGACUAGGAAGCCACGGCUAACUACGUGCCAGCAGCCGCGGUAAUACGUAGGGGGCAAGCGUUAUCCGGAUUUACUGGGUGUAAAGGGAGCGCAGACGGAACAACAAGUCGGAUGUGAAAUCCCUGGGCUCAACCCAUGGACUGCUUUGGAAACUGUUGAUCUGGAGUGCCGGAGAGGUAGGCGGAAUUCCUGGUGUAGCGGUGGAAUGCGUAGAUAUUAGGAGGAACACCAGUGGCGAAGGCGGCUUACUGGGCGCCAACUGACGCUGAGGCUCGAAAGUGUGGGUAGCAAACAGGAUUAGAUACCCUGGUAGUCCACACCGUAAACGAUGAUUACUAGGUGUUGGAGGAUUGACCCCUUCAGUGCCGCAGUUAACACAAUAAGUAAUCCACCUGGGGAGUACGACCGCAAGGUUGAAACUCAAAGGAAUUGACGGGGGCCCGCACAAGCAGUGGAGUAUGUGGUUUAAUUCGACGCAACGCGAAGAACCUUACCAAGUCUUGACAUCCCUUGACGAACAUAGAAAUAUGUUUUCUCUUCGGAGCAAGGAGACAGGUGGUGCAUGGUUGUCGUCAGCUCGUGUCGUGAGAUGUUGGGUUAAGUCCCGCAACGAGCGCAACCCUUAUGGUCAGUUACUACGCAAGAGGACUCUGGCCAGACUGCCGUUGACAAAACGGAGGAAGGUGGGGAUGACGUCAAAUCAUCAUGCCCUUUAUGACUUGGGCUACACACGUACUACAAUGGCGUUAAACAAAGAGAAGCAAGACCGCGAGGUGGAGCAAAACUCAGAAACAACGUCCCAGUUCGGACUGCAGGCUGCAACUCGCCUGCACGAAGUCGGAAUUGCUAGUAAUCGUGGAUCAGCAUGCCACGGUGAAUACGUUCCCGGGCCUUGUACACACCGC